rnacentral:rRNA from 1 species
UACGAAGGGGGCUAGCGUUGCUCGGAAUCACUGGGCGUAAAGCGCACGUAGGCGGUUUGCUAAGUCAGGGGUGAAAUCCUGGAGCUCAACUCCAGAACUGCCUUUGAUACUGAAGAUCUUGAGUUCGGGAGAGGUGAGUGGAACUGCGAGUGUAGAGGUGAAAUUCGUAGAUAUUCGCAAGAACACCGGUGGCGAAGGCGGGUCUCUGGGCAAUAACUGACGCUGAGGAGCGAAAGCGUGGGGAGCGAACAGG